rnacentral:rRNA from 1 species
CCUACGGGAGGCAGCAGUGGGGAAUAUUGGACAAUGGGGGCAACCCUGAUCCAGCAAUGCCGCGUGUGUGAAGAAGGCCUUCGGGUUGUAAAGCACUUUCAAUAGGGAGGAAAAGGUAUGCGUUAAUAGCGUAUAGCCGUGACGUUACCUAUAGAAGAAGCACCGGCUAACUCCGUGCCAGCAGCCGCGGUAAUACGGAGGGUGCAAGCGUUAAUCGGAAUUACUGGGCGUAAAGCGCGCGUAGGCGGUUUAUUAAGUCAGAUGUGAAAGCCCCGGGCUCAACCUGGGAAUUGCAUUUGAGACUGGUAGGCUAGAGUGUGGUAGAGGUGAGUGGAAUUUCAGGUGUAGCGGUGAAAUGCGUAGAGAUCUGAAGGAACAUCAGUGGCGAAGGCGACUCACUGGGCCAUUACUGACGCUGAGGUGCGAAAGCGUGGGUAGCAAACAGGAUUAGAUACCCUGGUAGUCCACGCCCUAAACGAUGUCAACUAGGUGUAUGGAGAAUUUAUUCUUUGUGUAUCGAAGCUAACGCGAUAAGU